rnacentral:rRNA from 1 species
GCCUAAUACAUGCCAGUCGAGCGAAUGGAUUAAGAGCUUGCUCUUAUGAAGUUAGCGGCGGACGGGUGAGUAACACGUGGGUAACCUGCCCAUAAGACUGGGAUAACUCCGGGAAACCGGGGCUAAUACCGGAUAACAUUUUGAACCGCAUGGUUCGAAAUUGAAAGGCGGCUUCGGCUGUCACUUAUGGAUGGACCCGCGUCGCAUUAGCUAGUUGGUGAGGUAACGGCUCACCAAGGCAACGAUGCGUAGCCGACCUGAGAGGGUGAUCGGCCACACUGGGACUGAGACACGGCCCAGACUCCUACGGGAGGCAGCAGUAGGGAAUCUUCCGCAAUGGACGAAAGUCUGACGGAGCAACGCCGCGUGAGUGAUGAAGGCUUUCGGGUCGUAAAACUCUGUUGUUAGGGAAGAACAAGUGCUAGUUGAAUAAGCUGGCACCUUGACGGUACCUAACCAGAAAGCCACGGCUAACUACGUGCCAGCAGCCGCGGUAAUACGUAGGUGGCAAGCGUUAUCCGGAAUUAUUGGGCGUAAAGCGCGCGCAGGUGGUUUCUUAAGUCUGAUGUGAAAGCCCACGGCUCAACCGUGGAGGGUCAUUGGAAACUGGGAGACUUGAGUGCAGAAGAGGAAAGUGGAAUUCCAUGUGUAGCGGUGAAAUGCGUAGAGAUAUGGAGGAACACCAGUGGCGAAGGCGACUUUCUGGUCUGUAACUGACACUGAGGCGCGAAAGCGUGGGGAGCAAACAGGAUUAG